rnacentral:lncRNA from 1 species
CUGUUUCUCUAGAAUUGUAAAAAUAAGGAGGAAGAGGGUGAAAUGCAUUGUAAGGUUCCUUGGCAUCUGAGGAUAAAAUUCUGCUAUCACAACAGAAGGAUUUUUUAUAAUGGCCAAGAAAAAAAAUAUUUUGAAUAUGGAAGAAAGUAUGUAAAAGGUCUCAGGCUUUGUACUUCUUGGUUCAGGGGUAUUUGAAGAGCUGAAAGCAGAAACUGCUUGAAACAACUUCUCUUUCUGGCCCUUCUGAAAGUCUUGAGAAUACUAAGCAAGUGUGUCCCCUGACAAGGAAGAAACUGGAGAAGAGUAGGCCAAAGAAUGUCAGACAGAUGGCAAGAAUUGAGGUUGCUGUAGACCCGUGUGGAUUCGCCACCAGUAACAAAACCAUAAUUACACAGGGAGGGUUUCUUCCAUCAGGCUGGUGGCAUGCUCCUUCUACAGCAGAAUAUGCUGCGGCUUUUUUCUUAUUCUUUUGGCCUUCAGAAGAAAGAGUGCUGCAUGCCAGUGUCUUCAAGUGGAUACUUCUGAGGCCCUUCAGAAAGAGCAAGAAUGGAUCCAGAGAGCUGCUUGGCCUCAGGAUACUCCUUUGGUUCAUCUAUAUUCACCAGGGACAUUCCAGUGUUGUCGUUUUUAAACGGUCCCAAUUCUGAUUGCUGAGAGAGAAAACUGGCAUUGCCUAACUGAAGGCAGAUGUCCACCCAUGGCCAAGUCAUCUAUGGUCAAGAGUAUGAUAUUAUGCAGCACAAAUAAGGCUUCUGGGCCUACUUCUGCUGGUGACAGAGCUGGUUCUCAGAGAAUGGACAAAAAUGCAUAAAUACCUACAGAAGGAAGUAUGAUGGCAAGGAACCAUGGUUCAGAGGUUCAGCAAAUGAAAAGGGUUAUUCAUGGUAGAGGUAAGAAAAGGUGCUACAGGACUUAAAGGAAAAGAUGUGUGACUUUCAACUGAAGGAUCAAGAGAAAGUUCCCUGGAGCUGGCAUCUAACUGGCUGGCAUGGACUGAAAAGAUUUGCUCAUACUAGGAUAGAAAGAGGGGCAUCAGUUCAGGCAGGAGGCAUGGCAGGAUUCAAGGUCCAAGUGGAAACCACAUUUGCUGGAGGCUCAGAUUUAAGAGUAUAUCUAAGAGAUAGGGUAAUUGAAACCAUGAGUGUUAAUGAUUUUGCAAAGAGACAACAGGAUCAAGAAAUGGAAUGAGGCCAAACAAAGCAGGUCUCAGUGAGGUGUGAAAAGAUUUGAAUAAAAAUGAGAUAUAGAACCAUGCAGAAUGCUUACUUUUUAAGUUCAACUUUUCCCCAUGGCCAUGGGGUCUUUCCUCUUAUAUUUACUUUAGGUUAUGUCUUUUCUGC